CAGGAUGAACGCUAGCUACAGGCUUAACACAUGCAAGUCGAGGGGCAGCAUGUUGGUUGCUGCAACCAAUGAUGGCGACCGGCGCGACGGGUGAGUAACGCGUAUCCAACCUUCCCUUAGUAGAGGAUAGCCCGGCGAAAGUCGGAUUAAUACUCUAUGUUCUUCAAUGCGGACAUCUAAGUUGAAGCAAAGAUUUAUCGCGUAAGGGAUGGGGAUGCGUCUGAUUAGGUUGCAGGCGGGGUAACGGCCCACCUGGCCUACGAUCAGUAGGGGUUCUGAGAGGAAGGUCCCCCACACUGGUACUGAGACACGGACCAGACUCCUACGGGAGGCAGCAGUGAGGAAUAUUGGUCAAUGGGCGCGAGCCUGAACCAGCCAAGUAGCGUGCAGGGAACCGACUGCCCUAUGGGUUGUAAACUGCUUUUAUCAGGGAAUAAAGUGAGGCACGCGUGCCUUUUUGUAUGUACCUGAUGAAUAAGGACCGGCUAAUUCCGUGCCAGCAGCAGC
rnacentral:rRNA from 1 species